UUUUUUCCCGCCAAUGGGGGCGAAAGGCCCUGACCGGAGCCAAUGCCCGCCGUGGAGGUAGAAGGCCCCCACGGGUCGUGAACUUCUUUUCCCCGGAGAAGAAGCAAUGACGGUAUCUGGGGAAUAAGCAUCGGCUAACUCCUGUGCCAGCAGCCGCGGUAAUACAGAGGAUGCAAGCGUUAUCCCGGAAUGAUUGGGCGUAAAGCGUCUGUAGGUGGCUUUUUAAGUCCCGCCGUCAAAUCCCCAGGGCUCAACCCUGGACAGGCGGUGGAAACUACCAAGCUGGAGUACGGUAGGGGCAGAGGGAAUUUCCCGGUGGAGCGGUGAAAUGCGUAGAGAUCCGGAAAGAACACCAACGGCGAAAGCACUCCUGCUGGGCCGACACUGACACUGAGAGACGAAAGCUAGGGGAGCGAAUCCCCCGAUUAGAUACCCCAGUAGUCCUAGCCGUAAACGAUGGAUACUAGGCGCUGCGCGUAUCGACCCGUGCAGUGCUGUAGCUAACGCGUUAAGUAUCCCGCCUGGGGAGUACGUUCGCCCACCGCAAUGAAACUCAAAGGAAUUG
rnacentral:rRNA from 1 species